GACGUAGGGGGCCAGCGUUGUUCGGAAUUACUGGGUGUAAAGGGUUCGUAGGCGGUGUGGCAAGUCGGGAGUGAAAUCUCUGGGCUCAACUCAGAGACUGCUUCCGAAACUGCUGUGCUGGAGUGUGGGAGAGGCGCGUGGAAUUGCAGGUGUAGCGGUGAAAUGCGUAGAUAUCUGGAGGAACACCGGUGGCGAAGGCGGCGCUCUGGACCGAGACUGACGCUGAGGCGCGAAAGCGUGGGGGAGCAAACAGG
rnacentral:rRNA from 1 species